AUCCGGAAUUAUUGGGCGUAAAGCGUUUGUAGGCGGGCGAGUGUGUUUAAUGUUAAAUCUUAAAGCUCAACUUUGAAAUUGCGUUAAAAACUGCUUGUCUUGAGUAUGGUAGGGGUAAAGGGAAUUCCCAGUGUAGCGGUGAAAUGCGUAGAUAUUGGGAAGAACACUAAACAGCGAAGGCACUUUACUAGGCUAAUACUGACGCUGAGAAACGAAAGGUAAGGUAGCGAAACGGAUUAGAUACCCGUGUAGUCUUACCCGUAAACUAUGGACACUAAACGGUAAAUUUUUAAUUUACUGUUAAAGCUAACGCGUUAAGUGUCCCGCCUGGGGAGUAUGCUUGCAAAAGUGAAACUCAAAGGAAUUGACGGGGGCCCGCACAAGCGGUGGAGCAUGUGGUUUAAUUCGACGGUACACGAAGAACCUUACCAGGAUUUGACAUGCUAGAUAGUUGCUUGAAAGAGUAACGUGCCGUAAGGAAUCUAGACACAGGUGGUGCAUGGCUGUCGUCAGUUCGUGUUGUGAAAUGUUGGGUUAAGUCCCGCAACGAACGCAACCCUUGUCUUUAGUUAUUUUCUAAAGAGACUGCCUGUAAUAAACAGGAGGAAGGUAAGGAUGAGGUCAAGUCAUCAUGCCCCUUAUGUCCUGGGCUACACACGUGCUACAAUGGGAAAGACAAUGAGCUGCAAAUCUGUAAAUUUAAGCAAAUCUCUUAAACUUUCUCGUAGUUCGGAUUGUGGGCUGCAACUCGCCCACAUGAAGUUGGAAUCGCUAGUAAUCGCCAGUCAGCUAUAUGGCGGUGAAUCCGUUCCCGGGCCU
rnacentral:rRNA from 1 species